rnacentral:rRNA from 1 species
AGCGUUGCUCGGAAUUACUGGGCGUAAAGCGCACGUAGGCGGCUUUCUAAGUCGGGGGUGAAAUCCUGGAGCUCAACUCCAGAACUGCCUUCGAUACUGGAGAGCUCGAGUCCGGGAGAGGUGAGUGGAACUGCGAGUGUAGAGGCGAAAUUCGUAGAUAUUCGCAAGAACACCAGUGGCGAAGGCGGCUCACUGGGACGGUACUGACGCUGAGACGCGAAAGCGUGGGGAGCAAACAGG